GGGGUGGAGGAAUCUACGGUGGUGGGCCUGGUUGCAGUAGUAGAGGAAGGUUUGGUGAUGGAAACCAAGGUGAUGGUGGAGGGGGAUAUGAUGGUUACAACAAAGGGGGAAACUUCGGUGGUGGCAGGCACUAUAAUGAUUUCAGAAAUCACAGUGGACAACAGCAGUCAGAUUACGGACCCUGGAAGAGAGGCAGUUGUGGUGCAAGAAGCUCUGGCAGCGGAUCUGGUGGUGGCAGGGGUAGAUACAGCAGCCAAAGGUUUUUUUAAAAAACAGAAAAGGGCUCGGAGCGAGGAGUUGUCAGGAAAGCUGCAGGUCACUGUCUCCAUGUGGGAGACAACUCAAGCACCUCCCCUUGAAUGCAGGGCAAUUGUGGCAGCUCUGCUUAUAUGGAGGCUGAUUUCCUUACAAUAAUGUGUACAGAGCUGGCUAUGGUAUUUCCUUCUCUUUCAGUUGGCUCUAAGCAUUGCAAAUAAGGCCAGCGGAGGCACUGGUAUGUAAUCUCUAAAGCAGUCAGGCAGUCUCCUGUUUCCUCUCUAAAAUAAUAUAAGCACAGCGGGAUGGUUAGAGCCAGUCAGCUCCAGGAAAGUCAGCUGGGUAGCCUCAAGGUAGAGGCUAUGACUCUGCAGGGCACAGAAAUUUACCUAUCAGAAACUGAAGCAACAGUCUCCAAAAACAAUUCAGUUGCUACCGUAAUGAAUUAUGCAAAUUGAUCCUCCUGCAUAUCCUUAUCUCUGCAUUUUUGCAAAGAUGCUUUUCUCCUCCCCCACCUGGCCGACUCAAACUACUAAGUAAUUCCUGCCAUCCUGUCGCUCAUCCUUGAACUGCUCCCUUCUUCACAAGAUAAUAAAUUCCGGGAGAGGCCUAGGAUCUGGGCCUUUGCCCACACAUCAUCAGGGUGAUUGGAUUUAGGACCCCUGUCUGCCCAUAACCUGGAAUAUGUUGGUGUGGGUUGCCCUGGAGGUGGUACAUUGGAGUUAACUUGCCAAGAUUCCACGAACGUCUCAAUGGGAUUACAAAUACCACUUUUUGCAUGGUGAGGAAGAGUAGAAAAGGGAUUACCAUACUUGGAUGACUGCACACAACAUUUAGGGUUAUAAUAGUCCCAAAUGCAUUAGAGGAACUAUAAAAAUCGGCCAGAAAUCAGCUGGACAUGGUGACUCAUGCGGAGGCUGAGGCAGGAGGAUCGAUGUAAGUUCAAGACCAGCCUGGGCUACAAAGUGAGCUCAAGGCCUGACUGAAUUGCGUAGAGAGACUCUGUCUCAAAAAGACCAAAAAAAAAAAAAAAAAAAAGCCCAAAAUCAAUAAAUCAUUUACUGUUUAUACUUAUCUUACCUAUGAGAUUCACCGAUAAAACUAUCCCGCCCCUACUUUUCUAUGUUUGCUUUGUGUUGUAACAAAAUACAUAGGAUUAAACAAUUUAAAAGAAGGAAGAUUUACUUUGGGUCAGGGUUUUGGACUCCGUUCUUUUGGGGCAGUAGUGAGGGAGAAUAUCACUGCGGAGUUGGUGGGGUGAAGCGUCCCACCUCGUGGUGCCAGGAAGCAGAGCGAAGGGGAGGACUAAACCGAACGGUCACUAAGUCCAUUCAUAGACGCUCACACUAGCGGGUGCUGAGAGGUGAAGGUAGGCGAGUUCUCAGUGGUGAGGAGUUUAUAGACUGGGGGAGCCAAGCAGAUACACUCCGGGGGGAUGUGCAAAGGGGACAGGGUCUAAACAGUUUUGCCAAGCUGGAAGCUUGACAGCAGAGCAGGAGGACUGUGUGCACGCACACAUGCGCACACAGUCUCACUAGGAGCCCAGGCUGACCUCAGAUUGGUGCUAGGAUUCCAGAUGUGCACAGUGCCAGCGUUGGAGCCCCUCCUGGGGAGAUGGCUAGCCUGGUUCUACAGUGUGAAUAUUAAUUAUCCCAGGAUAAGGCGGCCACCAAGGGCAGUAAGGUGAGGGGACAGUACGUGUCCAUGGGCAAAGUGACAGAUGUCAGCCUGCAGUUCUCCCAGUGUACAGGAAGGCGAGGCUGUAAAGCAGGAGCCCGGCCUGGAGCAGCGCCCGUGCUGGUUAAGUAGCUGGGCUUCGUCUUCCAGAAGCGCGCUCUCCCCUAGGGCGGCUCAGGAAGGCCAAGCCCCAGCCCUGAGUUUGUGCACUCAGCAGUGCACAAACACAAACUCAUGUCAGAGACUACCAAGGCGCCCAGGGGACACCAAGGAACUGUUUCUCUGGGUUUUGUGUUGUGUGUUCAGCCUUCCAGGCCUCCAGAGGCUGCCACAUCUGUGACCCAUAUGGCCCUGCUGCUGUAUGAGCAGGUGGCCUCCUCGCCUUGUCCCUGUGGACCUGUGAACGUGCAGAAGGCCGAGGAAAGCAGGGAGCUGGGGCAGAGGGGCUGGGUUGGGGGUGGUGACUUUUGGGAGCGAGGCCAGAGGUACAGCAGAGACCCCAGGAGAUUGGGCUGGGAGCAGUGCCCUGGGGUGCCGCCAGCAGACUGCAGGGCCAGCGGGGCCUCUGCCAGAGGGUGCCUGGACCACUGCGGGCCUGCAGGGCGUAACGUCUGUCUCUGUCCGUGGUUUCUGGCCUCGUUCUGAUCUGGUUCGUCUGCUAUUUUUCUGUCUCUUCUUGGCAUGGUAAUGUUUCCUGAUUCACCACUUCAUGUUGUAAAUGUGUAACUUCGUUUUGGCUUUGAUUUUUCCAGACAAGGUCUUGCCCUUGUAAGAAACAGAAACCUACAGUGGCCUGCAUUUAAGACGGAGUAGCUAACUCUGAGUGGGAAAUUACCAGCAGUUAAACUUGCCUAGCGGCCUGGGCAUGCGCCUGGAAGAUCCCUAGGCAGAGAGGGUACCAGGGAGAGAUGAACGUGGAGGGGCAUCCUUAUUGAGGAGUGGAGAGAAAUAAUGGACCCAGGUGGCUUCCGGGAAGUGUACCCCACAGUGCUUAGGGUGGGGGGCGGUCUGCACACCACAGAGCAGAGUGUGUGCUGUAUGGGCCGGCUACGCCCCACUACAGUUGGGAGCUGCUGAAGUACAACUGACCACAUGUGCCAGGCUUGACCACCGCAAGAACAAAGAGCACCCGGGGCAAGCCAUAUGAAGAAGCUGCUUCAGCCCAGGGAACACCUAGACCUCGGAGCAGUGGGCUGCUAGGACAACAGUGAUGUGACAUUGAGUUACUGAAAGGUAGAAGGGCCCCUGCAGUGAGGGGUUGCACCUUUCCUCCCAUCAGGAGGGAAGGGCUCCACCGGACCCCAGCUUGUUUCUUUUCUCCUCCUCUCUAGGUCCUUCACCCCAAGAAUCUCAAAGGCCACUUGGGGAGCGGCAGUACCAGACACCCAGUCUCGCAAGACCAACAUUAAAGUCUAGUGUUUCCUGUCCUUCAGUCUCUAGGUCCAUUCCUUGGGUUUGGGCAAGUGCAUGUAGUUCUCACACUUAGGUAGUUCAGGCUGGCCCUGAAUUCGCGGAGACCGUCCUGACUCAGCCUCCCAGGUGCUGGACAUGUACUGCUGUACCUACUUGUUUGGUUUUGUAGAGGCUCGGGGCUGGUGUUCCUUGAGUCUCAGAGGACUGCACACUUGGACUUUCGAGAUGCCAGAACUGCUAAGACUUCAGGGAUUCUUCAAGGUGGGCUAAAUGCAUUUUUAAUUGUGAGAUGAGUCUUUGGGGAGACCCCAAGUUGUCUCAAACGAAAAAGUGAGUGGCCGGGGCUACAGCUAAGUAUGAAGGCCCUGGGUUCCAAUCCCUGUCAUCAUCGCACCCCCACCCCCCACCUGUUGGGCGCAGGCGCUCAACAUACCAUACCCCACCCGGGACUAAGGACCACGCCAGCUUCCGCAAUGCGCUACGUCCCUCUUUAAAUUGGCCAACCCGUGUGCACUUCGUGCUCACUCCAUACUCUGUGGCAACUUCUGAUUGGCCACAGCUGGAUAUGGUAGCCAGAGCCUGCAUCCCAUUCCCGCCCUGCUUCCUUGUAGCAGCCUGUGAUUGGUCACGGCCAAAUAUAUAAACCAGAGCCCGCCUAAAUAAACUAGCAGUUAACUGUCGUCCACAAAAGCGUCUCCUGUCUCCUGUUUCAUUGGAGCUGCGCCGGUCAACUGGUGGCCCGUACGGGGAGCCCGGAGCGCUGAGACCCUCUCUCCGACAGUACGAGGAGCGCUGAGACCCUCUCUCCGAUGGAACAGAGACUAACAGGAAGAAGGCAGCGAACCUGUCUGGGUCCUGGAACGCCUGAUACGUCCCUGCAAACCACCAGACCCCGACCCAGAGGAAACGUCAACCACAGAACAGGGGAACCAACAGGAGCCUCACAAGCCAGACCAAGCAAGUAUACCCACAACUCCCAUUAACCAUGGCACCUUGGCCAACUCCCCUGGUUAGUAGCCUCCUUUUCCCCUCCUUCUUGCAUCUCGUACGGUCCUUGCAGCCAAUGACUUUUCUAAAUUGCUCCACCGCAACCUGUUAUAUGUUAUAAUGUUGGGAUAACAGUACACUUUCAGCUGUUGUUAUGCAGGUACUCCAGUUCGCACCGGUUCCAGUUAUGGCGGACUCAGACGAGUUUCCUGUGAUCCAGCUCGGGCCAACUCUCCAAUUGGCUUUCAUAAAGGAAUGGGCAGGAACAGGGGCUCUGGCUACCAUAACUACACUUGCCGCAUUCGGCAGUCUACUUCUGCUCUGUCGGAUUCGCAGACAAAGGAAUAGGGACAAAGUAUCAAACAAGCAUUGCUGAUCAUGGAAUCUGGUCAAAGCCCGGCAGCAUGGCUCGCCAUGCUGUGACGUAGGUGUGGAGCAAAGCAUCGCAGGGGGUGUCGUCCUUGGCCAGGAGACACCCCGGUCCCCAUGUUGGCGAGCACGCGGGUUGGGCUCAUAAAACAGAUUUCCCGCCCCCUCCAAAAGAGCACCAACGAGUAGUGAGGCACUGUCAUGACUGCAGCGUGACACCUCACGAGGGGCACCGACCUCUGGAGACCCUGCGUCAGUUAUAAAGAAAGGGGGAGAUGUUGGGCGCAGGCGCUCAACAUACCAUACCCCACCCGGGACUAAGGACCACGCCAGCUUCCGCAAUGCGCUACGUCCCUCCUUAAAUUAGCCAACCUGUGUGCACUUCGUGCUCACUCCAUACUCUGUGGCAACUCCUGAUUGGCCACAGCUGGAUAUAGUAGCCGGAGCCUACAUCCCAUUCCCGCCCUGCUUCCUUGUGGCAGCCUGUGAUUGGUCACAGCCGAAUAUAUAAACCAGAGCCCGCCUAAAUAAACUAGCAGUUAACUGUCGCCCACAAAA